GUGCUUGCACUGAAUUGACGUUGGAUUCCCAGUGAGCGGCGGACGGGUGAGUAACACGUGGGCAACCUGCCCUGAAGCGGGGGAUAACAUCUGGAAACAGGUGCUAAUACCGCAUAACAACGAAAACCACAUGGUUUUCGUUUCAAAGAUGGUUUCGGCUAUCACUUCAGGAUGGGCCCGCGGUGCAUUAGCUAGUUGGUAAGGUAACGGCUUGCCAAGGCGAUGAUGCAUAGCCGAGUUGAGAGACUGAUCGGCCACAAUGGAACUGAGACACGGUCCAUACUCCUACGGGAGGCAGCAGUAGGGAAUCUUCCACAAUGGGCGCAAGCCUGAUGGAGCAACACCGCGUGAGUGAAGAAGGGUUUCGGCUCGUAAAGCUCUGUUGUUGGAGAAAAACGUGCGUGAGAGUAACUGUUCACGCAGUGACGGUAUCCAACCAGAAAGUCACGGNUUACUACGUGCCAGCAGCCGNGGUAAUUA
rnacentral:rRNA from 2 species